rnacentral:rRNA from 1 species
CGUAACAAGGUCUCCGUUGGUGAUUCAGCGGAGGGAUCAUUGCUGGAACGCGCUUCGGCGCACCCAGAAACCCUUUGUGAACUUAUACCUAUUUGUUGCCUCGGCGUAGGCCGGCCUCUUCACUGAGGCCCCCUGGAAACAGGGAGCAGCCCGCCGGCGGCCAACUAAACUCUUGUUUCUAUAGUGAAUCUCUGAGUAAAAACAUAAAUGAAUCAAAACUUUCAACAACGGAUCUCUUGGUUCUGGCAUCGAUGAAGAACGCAGCGAAAUGCGAUAAGUAAUGUGAAUUGCAGAAUUCAGUGAAUCAUCGAAUCUUUGAACGCACAUUGCGCCCUCUGGUAUUCCGGAGGGCAUGCCUGUUCGAGCGUCAUUUCAACCCUCAAGCCUGGCUUGGUGAUGGGGCACUGCCUUCUAACGAGGGCAGGCCCUGAAAUCUAGUGGCGAGCUCGCUAGGACCCCGAGCGUAGUAGUUAUAUCUCGUUCUGGAAGGCCCUGGCGGUGCCCUGCCGUUAAACCCCCAACUUCUGAAAAUUGACCUCGGAUCAGGAGGAAACCCGUGAUA